UAGCUAAGUCGGUAAAGAAUCUGCCUGCAAUGCAGGAGACCCCGGUUCAAUUCCUGG
rfam:TPA: Bos taurus chromosome 1, whole genome shotgun sequence.